UUGCUAAGAAAUACGUGAGUGAGGAAGUAGCAUAAUAAAUGGUACGCGUCGUAUCUUCGCCUUCUUUAAUCGUGGCAUAUAAAACGGUUUUUGCGAACACAUAAUUAACGAGACACUGGAAGAACACAAGGGCGAACAUAUGGCGUUGUAUGUGCUUUUGAGAGGCAAGCAACAACUUUGCGGUCGAGAUACGAGUGUACACAUCCGAGAUCUGAGACGACUGUGCCGCAACCUUCCCUCUUUUUUUCAAUAAAGAAAAAUGUUUUUAAAUACAAUUGUAGAAAAAACAAAACUCCAACUUUGAUUACAGUUGGAUUUAAUCGAACUGUCACAACUCAUUGCAGCGGAAAAAUCAAUCAAUUACGAAGCACUCGAAGCACAUCGAAAUCCAAGAUUUCCUGCAGAAGUAUCAGGUGUGUUCUGGCUUCGUGCUGCACAUCGGUAGCGAUAGCAGUAACUUUCGUGGCAAAGAUACGAGCCACCUUUUUUCACCCGCUCUUUGCCACUUUUUGGUCCCGUCUGAAAACCAUAAAAUGAUUAAAUAAAAAAAAUAGUAUUUUCAUAACAGCAGUCAUAGAAUGUGUCGAGUGUACCACCAAUCCGCUGUCCAUUCCCAAACAUUUCCCACGAUAUUAUGAACCCCAAAUUUAUUCGGUGGAUAUUCAGUUACCGGAGCAGUCCCAACGAAGCCAUCGUCUACAGUAUUUUUCUCUGGAAAUUUCCCCUGCCAGAUAUUCAUCCUAAGAGAUAUACAAUUUGUAAAAAAGAUUUGGAAAGCAAGCAUUUGCUCCCUUUCAUUGAUCUUCUGUAGAAUACCAAAUUAUUGUAAAUAAUAAUGAAAGAAUAAAACUAGCAUGAAUGACAA